GAUGAACGCUAGCGGCAGGCUUAACACAUGCAAGUCGAGGGGUAUUGGUUUUCGGACCAAGAGACCGGCGCACGGGUGCGUAACGCGUAUGCAAUCUACCUUUUGCAGAGGGAUAGCCCAGAGAAAUUUGGAUUAAUACCUCAUAGUAUAGUACUUUGGCAUCAAGGAACUAUUAAAGUCACAACGGCAAAGAUGAGCAUGCGUCCCAUUAGCUAGUUGGUAAGGUAACGGCUUACCAAGGCUACGAUGGGUAGGGGUCCUGAGAGGGAGAUCCCCCACACUGGUACUGAGACACGGACCAGACUCCUACGGGAGGCAGCAGUGAGGAAUAUUGGACAAUGGGCGAAAGACCUGAUCCAGCAAUGCCGCG
rnacentral:rRNA from 1 species